rnacentral:lncRNA from 1 species
GGUCAUCUCAGUUCAAAAGCCACGUGCACAUCCCUGGCUAAUGUUCUCUGAGUCCACACCCCGAGCGCUCCACUGCGUCCUGGAGUCAGCGUGAGUUUGGAUGUGUGAAGGGGCCUCCUGUGGCCAUGUCCGCUCUGCUCUACGUCAUCCUCAGAGGCUGAGAAAUGUAGUUUCUUGCUGAAUCAGAAGCCAGAGCCUCCUCUGUGAGACAACAGAAUCGUUGGAGCCUUUCAUCAAGGCCCCUAAGGUUAAGCAUCCGUACGCAGGAGGAACAGAAUUUGGAUGUGAAAUUCGGCCCACUCGAUUACCACAGCUUCUGCCUUAUACUCUGCACUGUACGGUUCCAGCAAAAAGC